UGGUGUGGCUACGGGUAUCCUCUCCUGGAAGUCUGCUGCUCAUCGGCCUGCUGGUUGGCCGGGACCGGCUACCGGCGCAAGGGCGGUGGACGAACAGGAAGGGUUGAGAUUACACCGUUCGAACCUGAUCAGCGCUCAGACCUGCGUAGGGAAGCCCCCAGUGUCGCCU
rnacentral:ncRNA from 1 species